GACUGUAACUGGUUAAUGAUAAGGGCUGUGAAAAUGGGGGUGUGUAAGGGUGUGUAUGAUUAUCUGUUUAAGAAGAGGAAGGGGACAACAACAUCGUGAGAGAUGAGAAGUGCAGAAGACUAAGAUGAAAACUCACAGAUGCAGAAGAGGGUGGGGACUUUUUCACCUAUUAUAAUCACAUGCCUAAAUUAGAAUUUGUGUUAAACCCAUUGAACAAUGCAUAAAUAAUGGAAAAUUAAAUCAAAGAGAAUCAAUGUUCCCUUUCUUUACAACUUUCCUUUUAGAGCAGAUUUCUGUAAUUGCAAAACUCCUAGACAACCCCUAGACUUCCACUGGAAUUAUUUGAUGCAUCGCUGUAGUCAGUCAUUUUCAUUUAAGACAGAUUUUGCUGGGUAUGCUCUGAUUUAACAAAGAAAUGUUUCCACUCUUUUCUUGAACUAGCAGCUGUUGCUGUCCCUGACAGCUGUCUUAGGCUGAAGUACAAGUGUGUGUUCGUUGGAUGAUACUUCACUUGUUAAAUCACUUGACUAGUCAUAUUGAUGAGUAAUAUCUCACAUGAAAUCUGUAAGAAACAAAAUCAGCAAACUGGCAGUGGCAGUUGAAGCCAUGAGCUGGAUUCCCCAAAGCUGAUCACAGGAAAUAUGAGAAGCAAGCUCUGAGCACGCUCAGGGAGCAGGAAGUUGAGUGAGGCCGGGGGUCUGUAUAUGAAAUUGGUUACUAGAAAUUCAAUGGACAACAAAUGUUUAACUUUUUUUUUUUUUUUUUCCACUUACAGAGAAUAUCCUUUUAUUCUGAAAUUUGCUAUGCUUCUGCUUCGCUGAAAGGAAACAUUCAGGGUUUGUAAAAACAGGUGCUUGCGGCAGCUAUGGAAAACAUGAGCAAUAGAGUUCUGCAGAGACCUACAGGAUGGGGCCUGGAGGAAAAAUGACUCACUGGCUGAACGGAGGACAUCACUUUAUUCCUUACACAAUAUCUUUGAGCCUCUCCUGCUAUUCUUCUGUGCAGGUAUUGACAAAACUAAGAAUAGAGGAGAAAGUAAUGCCAUGGCUAUCGUGAGCAAAAACUGCAAAGAGUGGGCAAAACUCACUCAUGCUUCAAAAAGUACUGCAACUGGAAGCAGGAGACAGAGAGAAAGGAUUUUAUCACGUUAUUGAUCUACCUUGUCAUGUGAUCACUCUCAAUGCACUUUAAGAAAAGUGAGAAUGCUCUGCUGCAAAACUCCAUGGCUUCCAGUUUCAGGUAAAUAGGUACUAGCUCCCUAUUUUGAUUUGGAAAAACGUUGCCUGAUUCUUACCUGUUGCACAACGAUAUAGUAUAGUUUAUUCAUACGCCCAGAGUAUUUCCUUUUGAAGUGUAGGUUAUGGACACAUAUUCUUAAAAUGCUUUGAAAGAUAAUAGCCACAAGCACAUUGUUUUGAAUGUUGAAAUUGCAGCUGCCACUCAAAAUAAAAAAAAAAAAAUAUCAAGAACUAUUUUAAAG
rnacentral:lncRNA from 1 species